UUACGGCCAUAUCACGUUGAAACACCGGGUCACGUACGAUCACCCAAGUUAAGCAACAUUGAACCUUGUGAGUACCAAGAUAGGUAACUGCUUGGGAUUAUAAGGUGCUGUAAG